rnacentral:rRNA from 1 species
AACGAACGCUGGCGGCAUGCCUAACACAUGCAAGUCGAACGAGACCUUCGGGUCUAGUGGCGCACGGGUGCGUAACGCGUGGGAACCUGCCCUUAGGUUCGGAAUAACUCCCCGAAAGGGGUGCUAAUACCGGAUAAUGUCUUCGGACCAAAGAUUUAUCGCCUUUGGAUGGGCCCGCGUUGGAUUAGCUAGUUGGUAGGGUAAAAGCCUACCAAGGCGACGAUCCAUAGCUGGUCUGAGAGGAUGAUCAGCCACACUGGGACUGAGACACGGCCCAGACUCCUACGGGAGGAAGCAGUGGGGAAUAUUGGACAAUGGGCGAAAGCCUGAGCCAGCAAUGCCGCGUGAGUGAUGAAGGCCUUAGGGUUGUAAAGCUCUUUUACCCGGGAUGAUAAGGACAGUACCGGGAGAAUAAGCUCCGGCUAACUCCGU